rnacentral:rRNA from 1 species
GAUGAACGCUAGCGGGAGGCUUAAUACAUGCAAGUCGAGGGGCAGCAUUGGUUUUCGGAUCAGAUGGCGACCGGCGCACGGGUGAGUAACGCGUACACAAUCUACCUUUAACUGGAGAAUAGCCCUGGGAAACUGGGAUUAAUGCUCCAUGGUUUUGCUACAUUGCAUGAUGUUGGUAAAUAAAGAUCCGUCGGUUAAAGAUGAGUGUGCGUCCUAUUAGCUAGUUGGUGAGGUAACGGCUUACCAAGGCGACGAUAGGUAGGGGGCGUGAGAGCGUGAUCCCCCACACGGGUACUGAGACACGGACCCGACUCCUACGGGAGGCAGCAGUAAGGAAUAUUGGACAAUGGAGGCAACUCUGAUCCAGCCAUCCCGCGUGUAGGAUGACGGCCCUAUGGGUUGUAAACUACUUUUAUACGAGAAGAACCGUAGUCAUUUAUGAUUACCUGACGGUAUCGUAAGAAUAAGCACCGGCUAAUUCCG